rnacentral:misc_RNA from 1 species
AAGUCGUAACAAGGUUUCCGUAGGUGAACCUGCGGAAGGAUCAUUAACACAAGUAAAAAAACAUUUUACAACACCCUAUUAUGAAUUUAAAUUUUUUAAUUUUAAUUUUUUUUUAUAAAACUACAAAAAAAAUAUUUAAUUUAUUUGACUAACAUUUUUUUAAUUUAUUUAUUUAAAAUUUUAUAAAACAACUCUUAACAACGGAUAUCUUGGCUCUC